GAUGAACGCUAGCGGCAGGCUUAAUACAUACAAGUCGAGGGGUAGCAAGAUUGUAGCAAUACAAUUGUUGACGACCGGCAAACGGGUGCGGAACACGAACACAACCUUCCUACAAGUGGGGAAUAGCCCAGAGAAAUUUGGAUUAAUACCCCGUAACAUAGCGAUGUGGCAUCACAUUGCUAUUAUAGCUUCGGCGCUUGUUGAUGGGUGUGCGGCUGAUUAGAUAGUUGGCGGGGUAACGGCCCACCAAGUCUACGAUCAGUAGCUGAUGUGAGAGCAUGAUCGGCCACACGGGCACUGAGACACGGGCCCGACUCCUACGGGAGGCAGCAGUAAGGAGUAUUGGACAAUGGACGCAAGUCUGAUCCAGCCAUGCCGCGUGAAGGAUUAAGGUCCUCUGGAUUGUAAACUUCUUUUAUAAGGGACGAAAAAAGGUCUUUCUAGAUCGUCUGACGGUACCUUAUGAAUAAGCACCGGCUAACUCCGUGCCAGCCGCCGCCGUAAUAC
rnacentral:rRNA from 1 species